GAGAGCGGCCAGGUGAGAGCGGCCAGGUGAGGGUUUGCAGGUGACGUUCAGGUGAGGGAUUCCAGGUGAGAUUUGAGUGAGAGAUUCCAGGUGAGAGGGGCCAGGUGAGCUUCAGGUGAGAUAUUCCAGGUAAGAAGUUCCAGGUGAAGAUUCCAGGUGCGAGCAGCCAGGUGAGAGGUCCCAGGUGAGGAUUCCAGGUGAGGUUCAGGUAAGAAGUUCCAGGUAAGGAGUUCCAGGUGAGGGAUUCCAGGUGCGAGCGGCCAGGUGAGGAUUCCAGGUGAGAUUCGAAGAUUUGAGUGAGAGAGGGGCCAGGUGAGAGGGGCCAGGUGAGGUUCAGGUGAGGUUCAGGUGAGGGAUUCCAGGUGACGAUUCCAGGUGACGAUUCCAGGUGAGGUUCAGGUAAGAAGUUCCAGGUGAGGAUUCCAGGUGAGAGGUUCCAGGUGAGGGUUUGCAGGUGAGGUUCAGGUGAGGACUCCAGGUGAGAUUCAAGAGAUUCCAGGUGCGAGCGGCCAGGUGAGGAUUCCAGGUGAGGAUUCCAGGUGAGGGGCCUUGCAGGUGAGGCUCAGGUGAAGUUCAGGUGAGAGAUUCCAGGUGAGAUUGCACGUGAGAGCAGCCAGGUGAGAGGUUCCAGUCCCCAGGUGAGCCCCGCCAGGUGAGUUCCAGGUGAGUUCCAGUCCCCAGGUGAGCCCCGCCAGGUGAGCCCCGCCAGGUGAGCUCAGGGGGCGUCGUCCAUCAGCUGCAGCGCCUCGGCCCCGC